rnacentral:rRNA from 1 species
CCUACGGGACGCAGCAGUAGGGAAUAUUGCUCAAUGGGGGAAACCCUGAAGCAGCAACGCCGCGUGGAGGAUGAAGGUUUUCGGAUUGUAAACCUCUGUCCUCUGUGAAGAUGAUGACGGUAGCAGAGGAGGAAGCUCCGGCUAACUACGUGCCAGCAGCCGCGGUAAUACGUAGGGAGCGAGCGUUGUCCGGAUUUACUGGGUGUAAAGGGUGCGUAGGCGGCUUGGCAAGUCAGUAGUGAAAUCCAUGGGCUUAACCCAGGAACUGCUAUUGAAACUGUCGAGCUUGAGUGAAGUAGAGGUAG